AGUGUGUGAGUGCAAACUCGUCUGCCCUCGUAUUAAGCAUUUUCUAUUAGGACCGUCAAAUAUGAACUCCGACUUCUUGCUGGAAGGGUCUGAGUCAAGAACAAUCAGAUGAAAGAAAGAAAGGUGGCUUCUUGAGUUAUUGUAUUGAAAUUGUUUGUUUAGGAAAUUGUUGUUGCUUUUGACUUUGACAAUUCAAACGUCAUAAAAAUAUGACGCCAUCUUGCAAAUGAAAACGCUAAUGAUACUACAAAUGUCAGUGUCUUCAAAAUUAACAGUUUGACGUGUUUGAACACUUCUUGCUUAAAAGCCCUAUUAUGUAAGUCAAAAUGGCGACAUGGCGUUUAGCAUACCUUUCCCUUUAAAGCCUAGUUCGCAGAUCGCGCUAAAAUUUAUCUUUCAUACAAGUUUCCUCCAAAGAUAAAUUUAAGCGAGAAUUUUUAGCUAGGUAGUACGCAGUUCACGCGCUAAAUUCGAAUUCUCAUCUACUACUUUUGCAAAAAGUCUCCACUCAAUUUAGCUCGCGAAAUAAUGCUCAGCGCAUUUUUUCACAGAUAAAUUUUGACAUUUUUGUGGUUGUUGUUGUUGCUGCAAGGAAUAAGAGCAGGGCUGCUGAAAUCGCUACUAAGGGAGUAUUUGUACUCCCCAUGCAUACACCGCCCUGCAAACCAAACCUCAGUAGUUUAGGGGAAAUUACAACCACCAACAAAGUCUAUACUUUGUAGAUGUAUGUGUUUCCUUAUUUACCAAAAUCUCUCCCCUCAAAAUAUUGUAGUUUUGUUUCUCCUGAAAAAAAUAAACUCUUUGGCAAAUGGGAGGAAAAGAGCGCGAUGUAUGCAAUGCACAAAGUUUUGUCUCUUUUGUAAUGGCGGCUCGCGUUUGAUUUGACUUUUCCUGUAUUUUGUAGUUUCUAGUGAAACCUUGAUAGCCACAGCAACAUAUUAGUUAAGAAAAAAAAAAACAUUUCUGUGCUCCAUUUGAUAGAUAAAUAGAACAAUUUAACUUAAAAAAAAAAUAAAUAAUCUUCUCAGUGUUUUUUGUGAAAACUAUUUUCUAAAAAAACAAUCUACCACAAAAAUUCCUCAGCACGCCACACAAAUUCCACCACCCUUUCCACCAUCAAAAUGCACAGCCUCAACCUUGUGCAUUUAGAAAAAAAAAUCACAAAAAAAUUACACAAAAGCUACCACCAAUUAUUGAUUUGGAAAAUAAAGAGGAGAUCAAUUCCAGACAUCAAUGACUGAGUUUACAGUUCCAAAGGUUCCUCCACACCAUCCAGAACGAGUGAAAUGAACCUUAUAUUUAAUAGAGACUUCAAUACAAUGAGUGUGAUCCACAUUCCACAGACUUGUAGUGUCUGCACCCUCCGACCACUUGUUGAUGUGUUCGCUCUAAUCCUAAAAAAAACAACAUUCAACAAUUCUAUAUCGAGUAUAAAAAUGACGUCAGAGACUCCUUGCUCGCCACAGUAUUGGAUGCAGUCUUUCGAGUGACAAUUAAGAUGUGCACGAUCGUAUUACAAACAGAUUGCGAGGCAUGCAUUUUGUUCCCCUCAACAGUUGUGUGGAUAGAUAUAAGAUUUUAGAGAAAUUCAACGCCAACAUUUCUCAUAGUGGUCUCAAGUAAAGUGUCACACAAGACGUAUGUUUUGAUAUUAUAUAAUUCGAAUGAAUAAAUCUAAAUCUCUAA